rnacentral:rRNA from 1 species
UACGGAGGGUGCGAGCGUUGUCCGGAAUCAUUGGGCGUAAAGGGCGCGUAGGUGGCGGCUUAAGCGUGCGGUGAAAGCUCGGGCUCAACCCCGAGUCGGCCGUGCGAACUGAGUCGCUUGAGCACUGUAGAGGCAGGCGGAAUUCCGGGUGUAGCGGUGGAAUGCGCAGAUAUCAGAGGAACACCAAUGGCGAAGGCAGAUCUCUGGGCCGUAACUGACGCUGAGGAGCGAAAGCAUGGGGAGCGAACAGG